rnacentral:rRNA from 1 species
UGGGGAAUAUUGCACAAUGGGCGAAAGCCUGAUGCAGCAAUGCCGCGUGUGUGAAGAAGGCCUGCGGGUUGUAAAGCACUUUCGGUAGGGAAGAUAAUGACGGUACCUACAGAAGAAGCACCGGCUAACUCCGUGCCAGCAGCCGCGGUAAUACGGAGGGUGCGAGCGUUAAUCGGAAUUACUGGGCGUAAAGCGCGCGUAGGCGGCUUUGUAAGUCGGAUGUGAAAGCCCCGGGCUUAACCUGGGAAUUGCAUUCGAUACUGCAUAGCUAGAGUAUGGUAGAGGGUAGCGGAAUUCCGGGUGUAGCGGUGAAAUGCGUAGAUAUCCGGAGGAACACCAGUGGCGAAGGCGGCUACCUGGACCAAUACUGACGCUGAGGAGCGAAAGCCAGGGGAGCAAACGGGAUUAGAUACCCUCGUAGUCCCUGAGCGGGCUGGCAAGGCGCAU